UUGCCUACGGGGGGCAGCAGUGAGGAAUAUUGGUCAAUGGGCGGGAGCCUGAACCAGCCAAGUCGCGUGAGGGAAGACGGUCCUAUGGAUUGUAAACCUCUUUAGGCGGGGAGCAAUGCCGGGCACGUGUGCCCGGAGGGAGAGUACCCGCAGAAUAAGCAUCGGCUAACUCCGUGCCAGCAGCCGCGGUAAUACAUAGGGAGCAAGCGUUAUCCGGAAUUAUUGGGUGUAAAGGGUGCGUAGACGGGAAAUUAAGUUAGUUGUGAAAUCCCUUGGCUUAACUGAGGAACUGCAACUAAAACUGA
rnacentral:rRNA from 1 species